GCUGUUUUUCCUUGCCAGAAGAGGAGUGACAUAGCUUGCUUGUAGGCAUGUGUCAGAAUGCUUGAGGUACGCAGUUUGUACAUAAGAUUUUUUUAACCUACUGACCCAUUUAAAAUCUGGCUCUGAGCUCCCCAGAGGAUCCCUCCACCUUUGCUGUAGAUAUGAGGUCAGACUCUCUUCACAAUUGACUCUCACCUCUGUUGAAGUUGUGCAUACCAGUUGGAGCAAAGAACACAUGUAAAAUGUUCUGAUGACAAGUGUUCAGUCCAGGAGUGGAGGUACUCUUUGGCGAUAAACUCUUAACACAGGAAAGCAGCCCUUUGCCAUUGGAUGUUCACUUGCAUUCCAAAGCAUCUCAAUAUGAAUGACAGACCAGCACAAAAAAUAAAAGCUUUUUCUUUUUUCUUGUCAGUGGCCUUGACCUAAAACAUUAAGUCAUUAACCACCAGGAGGAAGCAGCAUGGGGGAGCAAGUCCCUGCAGAAAAUAUAUACUCAAAGGUUUUGUGUCUUCGCAUGGUGCAUGUUGCAUAUAAAGCUUCUCACUCAACAUUUCUUAACAGGCCUGGACAGAGGACAGCAAAUAUGCUGGGGCUUCACCUUUUGCGGCGCUAGAUCCUUUGUCCUUCAUGCUUUGAGGAGGCCACGUAUUAGCCAGUAUUUAGCUUCUGCCCAUUGUUUGGUCUCUCUCUCUCUCUACACCGUAGUAGUGCUGGGCUGCUUUAAGUAUUGAGAAUUCAUCUUUGGCAACAUCCAAAACAUUCCUGUCUGGUUAUUAUUUUAUUGUGGCUGUGAUUAGUCAUCAGUACAUAUUUGAUAGCAGAGAAUUGCCUUGUGUUAUUGUUUGGCAUCUUUCCAAAUAAAUCAUCUUGCCAAUCCAAACUAUACUGUACUUUUUGUUUUGGCCUCUUCACAACAACUUUUGAUGUAACAAACUUGACUGUUUUUAGACAGUAGGGGUAAUUUUUUCCCAUGAGUUUUGUGAAUGACUUUGACUACACAGUCUCAUGUUACAUACCAAGUUGGGUUUUUACUUUGAGAUGUGUAAUUCUUUCCUUGAGAUUUUUAUGAAUUUUUUUGGGUUUUUUUCUAACAUUGCUUUAUUAAACGUUGAAAUAUUUAAGAAUAUGUUAAUAUUUGGACCAGAUGUUGUGAAUAAUAGUAGAUAAAAGCUAUUUUAUUCUGUAUUUUUAAAAGCUGUUCAGUAUAAAUAAAAGCUGACAUAGAUGCAA